CGUGGACACCUGCUGAUCCAGA
rnacentral:miRNA from 1 species